GUCUACGGCCAUACCACCCUGAAUGUGCCCGAUCUCGUCUGAUCUCGGAAACAACACAAGGGAACACUGAGAAGCUUAAAAUGAAAAGGAAGGAGAGGGAGAAGCGGCCUGAGUCC
ensembl:rRNA 5S_rRNA 5S ribosomal RNA